CAAGUAGAAGCAUGGCAAAAAGGAUUAGGAAAUGUUUAAUUACCCCAAGUUGAUGUGGAUUUUCAUACCACUGUUUCUGUCACAGCUGCUAAGCUCAAUACUUCUCUGACCUGCAUCCCAAGGGCAGCCUUUCAUAUACCCAUAAUGGUCAUCUGGCUUGAAAUAGUAUCUGGCACUUGGUGUUCUCAGACCAGCCCUAGUUACUCAUUUCCCAUGCAUCAAUUCAGGAAUCACACACGCAUAGCACUCUUGCCUUCAAGGAGAGUACUUUAAGUUCCCAUUACUUUGUUUCAUUGUUUCUUUUUCCUUUUUAUGAACAUCACAAUUCUUGUUACCAGAUGACCUAAGUUCUCAGUCCUGGCAAAAGAGAGUUUGCAACAUUUCAAAGUGGUAAUCUCCACUAUGACUAUUUUGCCUCUUGUACUGCAGUACCAUAUUUUUCGUUAAUGCUGCUUUCUUCUUCACAUAUGUUCUUGAAACUCCAACAACCUAGAUCACUACGGUGUGAAUUCAGAUCAGUUAGCCUGGACAAUUGAGCCUGCUGUGGAAGAGUCAGCAUGGCACCUGCAAAGGGAAAUCCUGCCUCCCAGACCUCCUGGGUUGUAAGAAGGUGAUACUGAGCACACAGGGAAAAUCCACUUGACUCCUAGUAAAUUUUUUUACCACCACUGAGUAACUUAUUUUAAAAAAGAUGGUUUGUGGCAGAGCUGAAAUUGUUGCAACAGACCAAUACAGUGCUUUGAUGCUUUAUUUGAACAGCACAUGGCCUUUAUUUUUAUGAUGCUUUGAUGCUUUAUUUGAACAGCAGUACAAAGGCUCAACCUCAGCUCAUUCCUGGGACACGGUUGUUGGUAUGGCUGUGUUGCUUUCAUUUCAGUUGCAAAGCAAGAGGAGGCACAUGGGAUUUGCAUGGCACCAUCUUGUCAUGGCUGCAUUUCUGGGCAAACUGGUGAAGAGAUGGCUUGUUCAGGCCUCCCCUCAGAUGCAAUACUAUGUGCAGAGUGGACUCCUGACAGUUUGUGGUCUAGAAAAGCAUUUCCAUUCUUCACUACUCACCAGCAGGGAUCAGGUGCGGUGGAUUAGGAGAAUCAAUUUCUUUCUGGCUCUUAGUAUUCCUGGUCUCAGUGAUAUCCCCAAGUUUUCCCUCAAGGGUUACUGUAGAUCUGAUGGAAUUUUUGCAAAGAUCCAAAUGUCAGCACAGCAGGGUCAACCUCCCGAGUGUAUCUUGCUGCUGCAAGGGAGCUUCACACCUGCAUAGCAAAGAAUAAGGACAUUUAGAGAGCGUUUUUUUAAUAAUUUUAAACAGCCCGAACAUCUGUCCUGUGUUGUUAAAGUCAUGACUAGCUGGUUCUCUGAGUAGCUCCUGCUGAAACACAGACUUCAUUUCGGUGUUUAGUUCUGUCCUAAAAAUGAGGUUGAUUCACAGGACUAAAACUGGGUGUAGGUUGAUACACGGUGAAUUUGAGACAGUGGGAUCAGACAGACUAUGACUUCUAAGGGGGAAAUACCCAAAUUAUCCUGAGGUAAUCAGGAUCCAAGCCCAUCUCCGAUUCCCCUUUUAUCAAAAUUGCCAUUCUCAUCUGUGAAGAAAAUAAUAUGGAAAAAACCCAACUACAUUUCUAAUAAGAAACAGAUUAACAUAGGAAUAUAUUUCUAAGGCGGAACCAUCAGCUGUGAUGACUCUUGCCUUUAUUAUAUGUCCCUGUUCUAGGAAUAUUAGAAGCACCAGCUUCAUCAGACUGCACUGUGCUUCAUAUUACCAAAAUAAGUUAAUAUUUUCCCCUGGAGCUUACCAAACAUUCAUAUGGGCCCCUAUGUCAGAGAAGAGACUGUUUAAUGCUCUAACACGGGGCUAUGAAAGUGGAAAAGGAGAGUUCAAGAUUAUCCCAAUCCUCAGUGCUGAUGAGUUUGUCCCCUCAUCAAACGUAGAAUACAAUGGUUAGCCAAAGCUGCCCAGGCUGAAGGUACUCCAAAACGGGCAAUAAAAUGGUUGAAUGGAGGAAAUCCUCUAGCACAAGGGGAUUUGGGCCUCAAAAUCAAAAUAGUAGUGAGGAAUGAUACAAACCCAUCUUCACAGAGAAAUCUGGAGAAUCCCUUUUUCCAUGGGUUAAUCUUUGAGCAGAUGCCUUCUGUUCAGGGGCUGUGCUCUGCGCUGCAGUGCCACCAUGCCUGACAUUUGGGUUUUGUCACUCUGUGUAGGUAAAACUGAGACUGUCCUUUUGCUCAUUUCUUUUUACAUAACUUGCACUAGUUCAGUCACUCAUCCUGUAUUUCGAUUAAUGGCAUGAAACCCCUAAUCGCCCAAUUAGAAUGUGUAAUGAUACUGUAAAAAUCCCUAUUAAACUGAGCAGAGGAAUAUUUUAAAAAGCUUGUAAUAGUAGUCACUAGGCGUGAUAGUAGAAGAGGGAGGAUAGAUACACGAGAUUUAUUACAUUCAGAUAACAUGGUACUUUCCAAAUUGAGCUUCAAAGGACUGUGCUGAGUUUAUUAAUGUAAUUACUUAUAUGAAAAAUUAUCAGACUAUAAUGAAUAAAUUAAAAAUGUUAUCUAUAUAGUAUGUUAUCUGUGUAGUUUUUCAGACUGGAAUUAAAAAGAACACAAAGAAUUACAGGAAUUUAGGCUCUUGUUUUCAUAUUAACAUGGCAUUUAAAAUGCUUCUAGAUCCUUUGUUAAAUUGUAUUAUAAAUCAGAUUUAAACAGGAAGAUAGAAAUAUUUUUGCUUUCAUUUGGAAGAG
rnacentral:lncRNA from 1 species